rnacentral:tRNA from 1 species
GGAGAGGAGUUUGAUUAAAAAUUCUUUAAAUACAGUGGUUUAUAAGUUUCGAUCAACAUCGAUCCAUCUCAAAGGACAUCGACUUGUUCGUAUUCGCAAUGCGAAGGUCGGGAGUUCGAUCCUCCUCCGCUCCACCA